rnacentral:rRNA from 1 species
GAUGAACGCUAGCGGCAGGCCUAAUACAUGCAAGACGAACGGUAAGUUGAGUAGCAAUACUUAGCCAAGAGUGUCGUACGGGUGCGUAACACGUAUGCAACCUACCCUAUACAGGAGGAUAGCCUAGGGAAACCUGGAUUAACCCUUCAUAGUAUUAUUGGAUGGCAUCAUCUGAUAAUUAAAACUGAGGUGGUAUAGGAUGGGCAUGCGUCUGAUUAGUUAGUUGGCGGGGUAAUGGCCCACCAAGACGAUGAUCAGUAGGGGUUCUGAGAGGAAGAUCCCCCACACUGGCACUGAGAUACGGGCCAGACUCCUACGGGAGGCAGCAGUAGGGAAUAUUGGUCAAUGGAUGCAAGUCUGAACCAGCCAUGCCGCGUGCAGGAAGAAGGCCUUCUGGGGUUGUAAACUGCUUUUGCCAGGGGAUAAAAUUUCCAUGCGUGGAAAACUGAAGGUACCUGGUGAAUAAGCCACGGCUAACUACGUGCCAGCAGCCGCGGUAA